rnacentral:misc_RNA from 1 species
UUUUGCACAAGUGUUAUAUUUAUAUAUUUAGGACACCGUUAUCAACCCUGUCUCCUUGCACACUUUUCUGUUGGAGCUAUAGUGAGAAAGUAGUUUCAUGAUUAUUUUUUCUUUUAAUUUUCUUAAGUUUGUGCUUGCAGAAGUUCUCCAAAUUUUAUUCAAAUAUUCGAGGUGAAUUUUUACCAUCAAAUUUUAAUUAUAUAUGAGAUAUCGCUCAUAUUUCGGAAAACUUCGAAUAGUAC